CGUGAAAUUGUUGAAAGGGAAGCGUUUAUGACCAGACUUGGGCUUGGUUAAUCAUCUGGGGUUCUCCCCAGUGCACUUUUCCAGUCCAGGCCAGCAUCAGUUUUCCCCGGGGGAUAAAGACUUCGGGAAUGUGGCUCUCUUCGGGGAGUGUUAUAGCCCGUUGUGUAAUACCCUGGGGGGGACUGAGGUUCGCGCAUCUGCAAGGAUGCUGGCGUAAUGGUCAUCAACG
rnacentral:rRNA from 1 species